GAUUAGCAUGAGGGAUAGUAGUGAAAAUCCUUUCUUGGCUCGCUGUUAAAGCGAGACUAGAAAGAUUGUAACGAAUAGCCCGACCGGAG
rnacentral:sRNA from 1 species